AUGCCUCCAAGGAGGAUAACGACGCCCAAGGACGCCGUCGUUACCUGCAAUGAUGAAGAUCUUACGCAACUUUCCCUGAAGUCCCACACCUCCGUAGGCACCAAUGUUGCAGGUAACUCAAAAAGGCUGGCUCAGAUUGGGAAGCAAAUAUCACCGGAAAAACAGAGAAUCAUAAGGGAGGGACCGUUUGGAAACUUGUUGGACAUCCGGUCUUUCAAGGUGCCCCAUGAGCUCAUUGAGUUUGUUGCAAUGAACACGAAUCACAUACUCUCUGAGUUCAAACACAAGAACAAAUCUAUCACCUUCACCAAGCUUAUGGUGAAAAGGAUUUUCAACGUGCCAUCCGGUGAUAGACCCGUGAAGCUUCUAAAGAAGAGUGAUGAACAUGAUCUUCGCAGCAUCUACAAGGAGGGGAACAGGGCUCCAAUCGCCCAUGUUGUCAAGUUGCUCACUAGUUGCAGUGAGGAGGACGUGGUUAUGAUAAAUAGGACUUGGGCACUCCUUGCGUUGGCAACAGUUUUGUGCCCAGGCACGGGCAAUAUGGUGAAUCUCGAGUAUCUUGCUUCCCUUGAAGAUAUGUCUUUGGUGCAUGAAUUCGCUUGGGAUGAGCACUUGUUGGCACGAGCUAUGGAGGAGGUUGGAGUCUUUCAAGAGAAGAAGAGGAUGCAAGCAAACACAGAAAAAGAGUUUCAGAUUGCUUCAUGCAUUCCCAUGUUAGCGAUCAUAUACAUGGAUCAUGUUGAUAUCCCGGCUGGCCUCCCAAAUGAGCAUGCUAUUGAUUAUUCCGUGCCAAGGAUACGUUUUGUUUGUCAAAAGGAUUUUGAGUGGUUGGAUAAAGUUGACAAAAACAAGCUCACUCUUGUCCAACCUUUCUACGGGAAACACACCCAUAUCCGGAUUUUGUGCAACACCCCCUAUGCAGCACAACUUGUGGGACAGGAAGUUGGUGCUGAAGCAGCUAGUGGGAAGGGAGUUGGUGCUGAAGCACCUAGUGGCCAAGGAACUAGUGGCCAAGGCAGCCAAAUUCAAGAGGUGGAUGAUGUUGUUGGCAAGUUUGGACACUGUUUAAAGGGAUUGCAGUGCAACCGGAUGGCAGCCCUCCUUCCUGAUGUUGGAGACGCCAUCACAGCUACCAGUGAGCCCAACUUCUCCUUUGAAGCACCUAUCAUGGACGAAUGUCGCGGAAAAGAGAAUGAUGCUAAAGCUGCAAAUGCUGGCAUUGGUGCUCAAGCUCAAGCUGAAGGUACAACACCUAGCAUUAACAAGGAUGAAGUCACCGGAUUGAAGCAACAAGCUGCAACCGAGGCUGCUGAAACUCCUGAGCAACAACGAGUGAGUUUCGAGAUGGAAGGCAACGUCUCACCUCACAGCCCCCCACUCUUCUAUGAUGCACCCAGGAGUGCGACAGCCGACAUUUGGGACGACGAGCCAUCCUGUGAGUUGUUCCCAAAGGGCUCCGAAGACUACGAUAUGAUGCAUUGCACGGAAGAGCCUAUAACCAAGAAGAGCGCAGUCGGCCCCAUAUUUGAAAACAUCCCUGUGUUCCCUGUUUCAGACGAUGAUGACAGCCCAACCCCUAAGAUGGUCGCUACAGAAGAGCAAAUUUUUGAUGCAAGCAGUGGCCCUAGCACACAUGACAAGAACACUAGGAAGAAGAGGAUGGUCAAAGUUCCAGCCGUAAAAAAUACCAAGGCAAAGAAGCAAAAGGUCGAUGCAGCUGCAGCCACGUAUGAGAAGACACCUUUCAUCAAGAUAGGUGGAUUUUACAUUGGAUACAAGAAAUUCCUGGUAUGCUUCAAGCCUCGCGGGGAUAUGAACGAUGAGGUUAUGUCCCUAUGUAUCGAGAUGAACAACAUAGCAUCCCGUGUAGCAAGUGGUACUAAUCUGAAGAAAUACAUGUUCUCAGUCCAUGCGGGGAUCCUACUAAAACAAGACCCAACAACCUUCCAAUCAGCAAAACUCAUAGCCGAGCUUGAAAGGGCUGUGACAAAGUUCAAGGCUAAUAAAUAUGACCUCCUUUUUGUCACAAUUGUUCAUGAAAAGCAUUGGAUAAUUGUUUGCGCAAACUUGCUAUACAAGAAGUGGAAUGUAUUUGACUCAAUCCAUUCAAAAGGAAAACAAUCUCCUUUGAAGAAGCAGGCCAAUAACCUGGAAGACGUGGCGCGAUACCGCAUGAAAGUGGCGCACAACCUUUGCACUCACCCAAUGAACAAUGCCCCAAUGGAGCGGACAUUCAAGGAAGAGUUGGCGGCUUAA
rnacentral:rRNA from 1 species